UGGUUGGAGGGAGCCAGAAAGACUGUCCCACAUUUACAAAGAAACAAAUGGUCAAUUUGACCCGCCACAUAACAGGAGGGUUAAAUGUAGUUGACACUACAAAGGGUUGCAUUUUGGGUAACUGAGUUUAUUCUGUGUUUAUCUCCCGCAGUAGACGUGUUUGCCACUGCCACCCUUUUGCACUGAAGCACGCAAGAUGGACUCCAGCCUGUUACCUUACUUAGAUAUUGUACAACAAAUGAUGCAUAGUGGCUGUAGUGAUGUGGACAUAAAAAACCACUUGAUAUUUGAAUGUGGCUUGCGUAGAGGAACGUCCGUGGCCAAUAUUCGGAAGUUUUGUAAAGACCACGGGUUAAAAAGACAGCGAGUGACGGACCAACAACUUGAAGCUGCAGUCUCCAAUGCAAUAACACAGGGUGGUCCUACCUAUGGCAGGAAAAUGAUGACUGGGAGUCUUGCAGCUGCAGGUGUCUUCGCAUCAGAGGGUCGUGUUGGAGCUGUUUUGCGCAACAUUCACCCACCUUACCAUAAGGCACGAUGCCAGCCUAUGUGGGUCACAAAAUCCACAUGGACCAAAAUGAGAAGAUUGUCAUGUUUGGCGUGACUCAUGUGCUGGCAAUAGAUGGCUUCUCCAGCAAAAUUGUUGGACAAGCUACUAUGCCUGUAAAGAACAACCUCACCAUCUAGAAUGACGUUUACAGGAGUGCAGUAAUGGAAUAUGGGAUGUGGGACCAGGUCAGAGUGGAUCAUGGAAAGGAGUUCUACCUCACUCUUUUCAUGCAGGAGAAGUUGGCCAGCCACCGCCACAACACUGAAAGGCCACCAUAUCUCCAAACACCAUCGACAAAGAAUCACAGAAUCGAGAGAAUCUGGCCAGAAAUUAACAACCGAGUUAACUACCCAUUGAAAGCUGCAUUGGUCGAACUGGUGGAUCAGGAGGAGCUGGACAUGGAGGACCAGAUGACUCGGUUCUGUGUGUCAUCUUUGACAUGCCAGUUGGCCCAGAUCGGUGUUAACCGAACUGUGCAAGCAUGGAAUGCACACAGGAUUCCUGGUAUGU